UGCAUCUGCCUACUUGUACGCUCAAAUUUGACAUUUAAGCUUCGUCAAACGUUUGCUUUUCUUUAUUUAGUUCUUCUUAAAAUUAAAAUGAUUGUGCAUGACUAUAACAAUCCUCACAUGUAAAUGUUUUCCUUGUAUCAUGCUACAAAAAUUCAGUUACUUUACACCGAAAAAAAAAUUUAGUUAAGCGGGAUUAUAUUCUCAACAUAAUUGUUUUUUGAAUUCUCCACGACAGCUGAAAGUCAAUAUUAAAGACUGCGUAAAAUGCAAUGUAGAUCAAAGUUAUGCAAUGUAGAUAGUUUGUGAUUUUUUAGAAACAUAUGAGUGUAGAUUACAUUUUUCCCCUUGAGCCUUGAGGUACUGAAAAAAAAAUAUCAUACUUAGAACUCCAUUCUCAUACAUUAGUUUCACGUUCGUGUAAAAAAUUUUAUUCCCUUCAGUACGUAAACUAUAAAAAAAAAAAAAAAAAACUAUAACAAAAUUUUAUUCUCAUUAUAUAGGUCUCAACCUUUUUUCAAAGUUCGUUCCCGCGUCCAUCAGAAAAUUGUAUAUAAACUGGGCCUAUUUAACAAUAUUGGGCCUUAAUUUAUGUUAUAUGCCAGAUGACAUCUAAGCUACGUAGAAAAACAUUCAUUACACAGUUACCUACAUUACAAGUCACACAACUUAUUACAACACAAUGUUUUCUCAGUUUUCUCGGUGCAAAUGUUAAAAAUGUUCUCAGCUGUUAUGUCAUAUGCUAAACACGUAGGAAAACAUUGGAUUUCGUUUCCCAUUCGUAAAGGAAGGAAUAAAUCUAGCUGAC
rnacentral:lncRNA from 1 species